rnacentral:lncRNA from 1 species
GUCCAAGCUAACCCCCUUGGGAUAGCCUGCCGACCCAGUCACCUGGCAGUAAAGACAACCAGCUGAGACCCAGCCCGGUUUGUAGUUUCCUUUACACAUUUUCUCGUCUUUCAAAGACAAGCUAUCUGUUCCAACAACUUGGAGGGCAAAUGUUCAUAUUAGUUGGUCUGUCUCCACCAAGCAUUUUGGAUCAUCCCAGUUGUGGCUGAAAGGCCACUAGAAGCCUAGCACCUUCAGAAGUGGGGCAGCAGGAGGGGCUAGUUCUAAAGCAGCUCAGAAAGCCAAACCUCUCCUGCAGCCUCCUCAGGAAUUGAGAAUUGGGUAAUUUAUCUUCCUGCCCCAGUUUCCAAAAGUUUACUUAGGUGCUGCUGAAGGUCAUGUAUGGUUAGGAGUGUAGCACAAACAAGUGAGAAUUUUGCAUUCUUUGGUUGGUACACAAAGAGGAAAGAAUAGGAAAGCUCAGCUUUACGAGUGGGUAAAUGCAGACGAAUGGCUUUACUGUGAGAUGCAUGUUCUCGUGGCUGAAGUUCCCCAGAGAAGCCACUGGGAGCCAAUUCUGAAGGCAUGGACCUGGCUCCACUCCAG